rnacentral:rRNA from 1 species
UAGUGGCGAACGGGUGAGUAAUACAUCGGAAUGCACGUGUAGUGGGGGAUAACGUAGCGAAAGUUACGCUAAUACCGCAUACGAUCUACGGAUGAAAGCAGGGGACCUUCGGGCCUUGUGCUAUACGAGCGGCCGAUGUCUGAUUAGCUAGUUGGUGAGGUAAAGGCUCACCAAGGCGACGAUCAGUAGCGGGCCUGAGAGGAUGAUCAGCCACACUGGAACUGAGACACGGUCCAAACUCCUACGGGAGGCAGCAGUGGGGAAUAUUGCACAAUGGGGGAAACCCUGAUGCAGCCAUGCCGCGUGUGUGAAGAAGGCCUUCGGGUUGUAAAGCACUUUCAGCGAGGAGGAAAGGUUGUUGGCUAAAUACCCAACAGCUGUGACGUUACCCGCAAAAAAGCACCGGGUAACUCCGUGCCAGCAGCCCGCGGUAAAUACGGAGGGCGCCAAGCGUUAAUCGGGAAUUUACUGGGCGUUAAAGGCGCAACGCAAGGCGGGUUGGAUAAAGUUUCAGAAUGUUGGAAAAGCCCCCGGGGCUUCNAACCCUGGGGAAUUGGCUUUUUAAAACUUGUCCCAGCUAAGAAGUCUUGGUACAAGGGG